rnacentral:ncRNA from 1 species
UUUCUCUCCAUUAGCUGGCACUCAUCCAUGUCUGCACUUAGAUUUGAUAAAGUGAAUGAUUAGAGACUUGGGGCUGAAGGAGUCUUAACCUAUUCUAAAGCUGUAAAUGGAUAAGAAGCCUGACUCUAUGGCAUAGAAUGUGAGCACCUAGUUGGCCACUUCUGGUAAAUAGAACUGGUGCUGCAGGAUGAAUGG